rnacentral:rRNA from 1 species
AUGGCUCCUCAUGCUCUCUCUUGGGUUAGUGUGCCUCUGCUCAUCUUCUUGGCGUCGUCGUCAUGCGUUGCAGCGAGGGGCGCUCGGACACCCAAAACUACUGACCCGACAGCCGGGUUCACGGUGGUGAGCCUCGAGGAGAGCAACUUCUCACUGCAGCGGCCUUUCGAUGAGGCAAGCGGCGCCCGGUACAGUUUCGACGGCACCGUCCGGACGCUGUGGGUGCUCUCCUCCGACAAGCCCCAUGCCCGGCAGAGCCAUACCAGCCCAAGAACUGAGAUCAAGAUGGAAGGAUACGACUACAGCUCCGGCGUGUGGCAAUUUGAGGGCCACGGCUACGUCCCCUCAGGCACGACCGGGGUGUCCAUCAUGCAGGUGUUUGGCGCCGGCGAGACAGCCACCACCCUCAUGCUGCACGUCUACAACGGUGCGCUGCGGUACUACGACCGCCAGGUCGUGGAAGACGACAUCUAUGACAGGUGGUUCCGGCUUAACGUGGUCCACGACGUGAAGGCAUCGACGCUCACCGUGUACAUCGACGGCAAGCAGAAGCUGCACGUCCAUGGCCGUGGUGGCCACUCACAUUACUUCAAGUUUGGUGUGUACGCGCAGAACCAUGACUCCAGGUGCAUGGAGUCUCGCUGGAAGGGGAUCAGGAUCUUCAAGAAAGAGUGA